CAGCUAUGAAGGAAAGGGAAAAACAGAAAACGAAUUUCAGUUGUGUUGGAUUUCUUGGUUUGCUGUUUCAUAGGUUAUACAGCUGGAAAGAACAAAACACUGAAGAAAAGAAGGUGCAUUGGCACUGGAUUGGACACAUCCUACGGCAACUGUUCUACUGUUCUAAGAGCUAACCAGACCAUUAGAGCUGCACUGCCUCAGGAUAUCCUUUUAAAAUAUCCAUAAAGGUUAAAAGAUUGUAGUAUUUCCUCCCACUGCAAUGGUACAGGGACUUGGCUAUACUGAUGUCAUUGAUGUACACCAAGAACAGGAAGCCUAACAACAAACC